AUUGAACGCUGGCGGCAGGCCUAACACAUGCAAGUCGAGCGGAUGAAGGGAGCUUGCUCCUGGAUUCAGCGGCGGACGGGUGAGUAAUGCCUAGGAAUCUGCCUGGUAGUGGGGGAUAACGUCCGGAAACGGGCGCUAAUACCGCAUACGUCCUGAGGGAGAAAGUGGGGGAUCUUCGGACCUCACGCUAUCAGAUGAGCCUAGGUCGGAUUAGCUAGUUGGUGGGGUAAAGGCCUACCAAGGCGACGAUCCGUAACUGGUCUGAGAGGAUGAUCAGUCACAGUGGAACUGAGACACGGUCCAGACUCCGACGGGAGGCAGCAGUGGGGAAUAUUGGACAAUGGGCGAAAGCCUGAUCGAGCCAUGACGCGUGUGUGAAGAAGGUCUUCGGAUUGUAAAGCACUUUAAGUUGGGAGGAAGGGCAGUAAGUUAAUACCUUGCUGUUUUGACGUUACCAACAGAAUAAGCACCGGCUAACUUCGU
rnacentral:rRNA from 1 species